GACAGAGGGUGCAAACGUUGUUCGGAAUCACUGGGCGUAAAGCGUGUGUAGGCGGCAAGGUAAGUCGGAUGUGAAAGCCCCAAGCUCAACUUGGGAAGUGCACCCGAUACUGCUUUGCUAGAGUAUUGGAGAGGUUGGUGGAAUUCUCGAUGUAGAGGUGGAAUUCGUAGAUAUCGAGAGGAACACCUGCGGCGAAGGCGGCCAACUGGACAAAUACUGACGCUGAGACACGAAAGCGUGGGGAGCAAACAGG
rnacentral:rRNA from 1 species